rnacentral:rRNA from 1 species
CAGUCGCCGCGGUAAUACGUAGGUGGCAAGCGUUGUCCGGAAUUAUUGGGCGUAAAGGGCUCGCAGGCGGAUUCUUAAGUCUGAUGUGAAAGCCCCCGGCUCAACCGGGGAGGGUCAUUGGAAACUGGGAAACUUGAGUGCAGAAGAGGAGAGUGGAAUUCCACGUGUAGCGGUGAAAUGCGUAGAGAUGUGGAGGAACACCAGUGGCGAAGGCGACUCUCUGGUCUGUAACUGACGCUGAGGAGCGAAAGCGUUGGGAGCAAACAGGAUUAGAUACCCCUGUAGUCCCUGUCUCUUAUAC